CCAAACAGAAGAUCAUGGAUUAUGUUUUAGUUUACCAAAGUUCGAUCUGUGCCAUUAAAGAUUCCCGCACCACCAGAAGCGAAGCUGACACCGGUCAUAAAGGAGGAGGUAUUCUGUGGCGAGACGGAGAGGUAUGGCGGUGAAGUAGCUUUCUUUGUAGGAAAAUCGAUGCCGUUGUGAGGGAAAUCUGCUUUGGCAACCGACACUGGGAGGUAAUUGUUGUUGCCCACAUCUACCAGGGAGUCACCAAAAACAAAAAUGGCUGGCACCAUUUGAGCGUUGGCGAAUUUGAGGCUCAGGACAAGGGCAAAACCAACCAAGAAACUCGGAAGAAAUGACUUGUUGCCCAUUUUCCUAGCUAUGAACAAAAGCACACUUCCCAAGAGUGUAUAUAUAGAUACAUAAAUGUCUUGGAACGAUCUCUUGUUAUUGCUGUAGCUAGAUAUUAUUACGAUGAGAUGAAAGGAUUGCGGGUCUAUCUUUGUUUU